rnacentral:lncRNA from 1 species
GGUCUCAAACUCCUAAACUCAAGCGAUCCACCCCCGCCUGGGCCUCCCAAAGUGCUGGGAUUACAGGUGUGAGUUGCCCCACCCAGCCGUGAUUAAUUUGGGCUUUCAACACCCUAAAAUGGGAGAAGGUGGUAGCAUAGAGUGUGUAUGACUGAUUGUAUUUACAUUUGUUGCAAUUUGAAGAAAUGUAGUUAGAAGUCCAUCUGCAGAGAGAUUAUGACCAUCGCUUCUGUCUGACCAAGGUCUGUUUUCCUGAUCGGUUGGAUGCCUCAGCGUGCAUUCCCAGGACUUUAUGAGAUGAUCCACUGAAGGAUUUCAGCAAGAACAUUCUGGAGUGUCAACUGAUACGUUUUUCAGUCUCAGCUUGCUCACUGUUUGAGUAGUGUCACAUGUACAUGCGUGUUAUUAGAGGCGAAUGCACGUUUUUGUUACUGAGAGAGUGGCCCUAGAGCAGAUGCCAGCGAACUGCAGCCCACAGCCCGAAUCUAGCCUGCCGCCUCUUUUCAUGUGGCUCACAAGCUAGUCAUAGUAUUAUAUUUUAAUAGUGUGGGAAAACAUCAGAAGAAGAACAAUAUUUUGUGGAACAUGAAAAUUAUAUGUUUACAUUUUAGCAUCCAUAAACGUGGUUUCAUUAGAACACACUUCUAUGGUUUGAAUGUCCUCUCCAAAACUCAUGUUGAAACUUAGUCUCUAACGUCACUAUAUUAAGAGAUAGGGCCUUUAAGAAGUGAUGGGGGCAUGGGAACUCUGCCCUCAUGAAUGGAUUAAUCUAUUCAUGGAUUAAUGGAUUAAUGCAUUAAUGGAUUGGUGGUUUAUCAUCGCAAGGAAACUGGCAGUUUUGUAAGAAGAGGAAGGGAGACAGUGGCAGGGAAACUGGCGGCUUUGUAGCAAGAGGAAGUGAGACUUGAGUCCUCUCACCACAGGUUGCCCUGCACCAACCACCACAGGACUCUGUAGAGAGUCCUGGCUAGCAAGAGGAUCUUCACCAGAUGUGGCCUCUUGACCUGAGACUUCUCAGCCUCCAUAACUGUUAAGUUUCCUGGAGAAUUCUGAAGGAUAUGCCCCCUUCCUCUCCUACAGCUCAGAGUUGUUCUGUGCACUUGGAUCAGCCUCCACAACUUCCCCCCGGGACAGGGCACCCAUCACCAUCUCCUACCUGGACAGCAGCAAACACUGCCCCCGUGACUUCCUGGUGCCAUCCUUGGCUCCAUUACGUCCAUUCUCCAGUGGCUGGCAGAGUGAGCUUGAAGAACGUGUGACAUGCCCUUCAGAAUGUUCUACUUCCUGUUCCAGAAGGACAGCCCCUCAUGCCUUCCCGCGGGCCACACGCCACCUCUUCCUCAGUGCCCCAGCCUGGCAUCCUCUUCCUGCAUUCAGCCUUCUUUUCCGAGGUGUCAUCUUGCUGGAGGGCAGAAGGAUUCCCUGGAACCUGGGGGCCAGCAGGACAGAGGAAACAGAAAGUACAUGACCGAUGAUGUCUUUCGACCACAGAAAGGGCUGGAAGAAGCAGGGGACCUACUGUUUGAAUAAACCCAGUGGAAAAACAGAAGCCCCAUUUCAUACUUGACUCAGCUCUUCAAGUUUAAAUCUUGAAUCUCCUCAACUACACGGAACAGUGUCUCUCCCAAGUCAUCUGACACCCACUCUGUUCUCUGGAUCAUUCCUUCCUAGAGAACGUUGCUCUUGGAGGGCUGUGAUCUGCUCUCACCCACUUGCCUUUCUGACCCACUGAGUGCAUCUCAACAGUCACUUGGGGUGAUCCGAUCUGACCAGGAAGGGUUGGGUGGCUCGUGGAGCUUGGGAAGCACUCUCACUGUGGCGGUCCCCAUUGGUGGUCAUGGGGUUGCCACAGUGAGCUACGUUUCUACCCUCAUCUCUCUAUAUGUUACCGUGGAAUCUCUGACUGAGGACCCAUGGGCUCACCCAAUGUGAUAAAGUCCUGAAGCUCAGCCGGGACGUCCGACCCCAGCUGCAGGACUUUCCAAUAGACAGAUGCAUAGAACUUGAGAAGAAAUCGACUUAGAAACCUGAAGUUGGAAAACUGGUUGCCUGACAUUCUGUGCAAGACUGAAUCUCUGAGAAAUGAAGGCUGUGUAACUUUGGGACCAUGUCUUUUCCAGCCUACAUAGACCCCCAGGAAACUUUGCAGUUGUUCCCCAAGUAUGGAUGGAGUCAAACUUGAUGUCCUUUCAUCCCCCCAUCCCAUCCACUAAUCCAUAUCCUUUGGAAAUUUUAGAGUGCCGGGCCUCAUGUAAAUACACCAAAAACAAUUUAAGUCAUUUAUGUUCUACUAAGCCAAGAGUUCUUUAGCGGUGGAAGAAGAUGGGGUCUUACACGAAUGGAAGGGUCUUGGCUAUUUGCGUCGGUAUCAACAGAAGGACUAGACGCUUGCACUAAAAGAAAAAGCUGAGGGAUGGGGGCAGGAAGCGGGAAGCUGGGACCCAAGCCCCACCUUCCUGAGUUGGAAGGUGACAGGUAGACUCCUGCUUGUUUGCCAGAGAGGCCUGGCAGAGGAGAACUAAAAUAAAAUCCGAAGUCCCCAAGUGACUGAACAGACCCCCUCUUGGCCAAGGGGACCCCAGAGAAACCUGAAAGCUGAGCUCCCAGCCAUGAGGGGACGGGCGAUCGGACACGCUUCAUCACAGUCCCUCCCCUUUGUGGUUUAAACGACGAUGAUCGGCUGUCAUGCUAAAAUAGAGACACGAGACCGACAGCACAGACUCCUUAUGGCAAUAAGACACCAAAUUAUAAGCAGCACCUCAGGCCACGCCAGGUAAGGGUCGAGCCGCGCACUCUACACUUAGAGAACGGACUCUGCUCUCACACCACAGCGUCUUCUUUUUCUUCAGCAGCUAAACACGCACCGGCCCCGAGAUUCAAACGACUGCAGCUCAUCCACCUGCAGACGCUGGCUGACCCCGUUCCACAGCUGUGACUAUAGCUUUGAUUGGACAAGAGGUUGAUUUCAGUCUCCUGGUAAGAGACCACCAACCAUAGACCUGGUUCAGGCUGAUUAUAGAAGCUGCACACUUGUAUGCCUUCGAGUCCCUGCCUCACCUUUUGACGUGUAGGGACUCAUUGUAAUGCUUUUAAAUGUGAAGCCUCCACCCCAAAGUGAACAUGGGACGCAUGUAACGUGCAUGUUCAGUGGGCACGGCUCAGGACUCUCUUUGUGAAUAUUCAUAGCUCCUCCUGGAACCUGAAUAUGUAUGUUUGGCCAGCUCAAUUCAGCAUGAGGCUCCUGCUGCAACACCGCCUCCUUCCAGGUGCCUGCCAGCUGUUUCUGCCAGAGGCUGCGUCUCCCGGCCUGUCAGAAUGGCCACCCUGCAGGCUGUAAUCCUUUAGAAGAAAUAAAGAUCCCCUUUCCAGAUGUAUAGAUCUUGUGAUUUUUUUCCAUUCACAUCCUUGCAUCUUAUAAUGCCCUGUCUCCAUGGGGGUUACAUAGAAAGCCCUCAGCCUCUAGGGCAGAUGGAGCCAGGACUGAGGGUGGGGGUGGAGAAGGAUCAGGAGACUCACUUCAAGGACUUUCUGGUGCCGGCAGUGUAGGCUUGCCAGAUGAAAUACAGGACACCCAGCAACAUGAACUUUCGUAAUUUUUAUAGUGUAAAUGUGUUCCAAAUAUUGCAUGGGACAUGCUUAUCCUGAAGAAUUAUUCAUUGUUUAUCUGAAAUCCAAAUUUAACUAGGUGUCCUGUAUUUUUAUUUGCUAAAUCUGGUGACCCUUCACUGGGGAGACGCUUUUAAACAGCCUCAACUUAGAAAUUCUUCUCUUCCUGCCAAAAGCGCUAGGGUCUGUAUAUGGGUGCAUGGAAACACGAAAUUAUUGUCACAGGACUGAAGAGUAUGAAAGACUUCUAGUAACCACCAGCUGUGGCAGGGGCCUGUGCAGGGGGUACCCUGGCAGGGAGGAAGCUGCCUUAAUUUUCAACCUCGGACAGAAAAGCGCAUCUGUUAGACACAGCAGAAAGCAGACCUACAUGUAUGGUUAAUAAGGACUAUGUAUUUGACUGCUGUGGGUUCAAUUGUGUCCCUGCGAGAGACACAUUGAAGUCCUAACCCCUGCUGCUUCAGCAUUUGGCUUUAUUUGGAAAUAAGGUCACUGCCAGUGCAGUUAGCUGAGAUGAAAUCAUACUGGUGUCUGGUGGGCCCUUAUUCCAAUAUGACUCGUGAUAUCACAAGAAGAGGAGGACAGACACAGAGACACACUCCAGAGGGAGAAGGCCAUGUGACAGCCACGGACUGCUGGAAGCAGCGGAAUCUAAAGGCAAGGCAGGGAACAGAUUCUCCCUCCCAGUCCUUCGAGAGAACCAACUCUGCCGACAGCUUGAUUUCAGAAUUCUGGUUUCCAGAACGGUGAGAGAAUAAAUUCCUGUUGUUUUAAGCCUCCCGUUUGUGGUGCUUUGUUAUGGCAGCCCCAGGGACUAAUGCAGUCACCGUCACUUGAUUGCAGACAAAACGACUGAGGGUUCUCUGCAAUGAAUUUCAAGUUCUGAAUUGAAAGAGGCUUCAGAGCCUGAAGAAAGAGGCGAUGCCAGCACUCUCUGGAGUGGGAUCCACAGAAGCAGAGAAAGCCCAGGGGAUGAGCCAACCCAGAAUCCAAACGCCCGUGGAUCGGGCCAGACCCAGGACGGCGCUAUCUUGCACACCCAUCACAGGCUUGGGGACACUAGAACUGCACUGUCAGAUAUUCCUGACUUCAUGUGUGUGUGUUUGUGUGUGUGUAGAUCAGGCCAUAUGAUUUACUUGCUGCACUCUGAGCGAUGCUGUGUAGAUAAAGCUAUAUUAUCUAUUUGCUACACUCUGAAUAAUGCCUUCCUCAGUGAUAAUCAUAAUCAAGUGAGCUUUGGAUUGUCAUUAUGAAGUCUCAAAUUAAAACAAUUGGUUGAGAUACUGCCAGCAAGGCAACUAGAUCGGGGAUUGCAGCUGCUGAUGCCAGUCUAGUAUUUAGGUAAGAGGAUGCCUCCACCCUCUUAGAGCAUGUGGCUUGCACAUCCAUUCUUUCAGUGCAGGAAGGGCUGGAGUGUCCACUCCCUACUCCCAACCCCAUCAGUUGUUGUAUGGUCCAAAAUGCAAAGUAAUUUUAAUGUGAUCCAAGAUGCAUAUAAAAACAUUUUAAAAACAGAUAUGUUAUGCAUUGCUUAGAAUGAUGCACCAUCCGCUUCAUGAACAAGCAAGAACUAACUCUAUCAUUGACUUCAUCCACAAAUACUAGAGGUGAUGAACUUGAGGUCAAAGUUCCGAAGUCAGACAGCAUGGGUUUAUUCAUCGCCUGCUAUGUGCAAAUCCUAGAUGUCACCAGGCUCUGCUCACUUGGUGUCUUGGCCACUCUGGGUGAUGUUUACACAAGGCUUGGUGGCUUUGAGAUGGGUUGCAAACAAGAGAUAUCAGUUGUUGGACUUUUGCUUAUAGCUUGGGGUUGGACAUCCUCUAUCCCUCGAUACCUCCUUGCACCCAUCAGCCGUUAUCUUUGAAGGAAACUUUUUCCUUGAGUCUGGUUCCUUGUCUUCAGGUUCUAACCUCAUGGUUUUGGAUCCUUGUCCCUAUGGUUGUGAUCCUUCCUGUCCUUGGCUCUAGUGCUCUUUUUUUUUUUUUUUUCUAUUUCUUUCCUCUACCUGUGCACAUGACCUCUUUGAAGAGCUCACCUCCUCCAGGAAGCCUCCCUGGAAUCACCCUUUUGCCUUCCAUUCUCCUUGUUUAUACAGUCCAUGUCAGUAUAUCCAAAUUGAAUUAUCGCGGUGUGCUGCUUUGCAAUGUGUAUCUGAUUUCACCAAAACCCUCUACUGUCUCUAAUCCCGGGUAUCCAAUUUCAUGUGAAGUUCAGUGAUGUGCUCCUCCCUCCUCCUCUUGCACGCAUGAGCAGGUACUCAACACUUUCUGGUCCAGCUACAUGUGACAUGAGGCCACUCACGCUCUUUUUAAUUAACCCUUAUGACAAUCAUGUGCGUUAUGGAGAAAAUUAAUGGAGGAAAAAUUACAGAGUCACCCGAAACAGUUGCGCUGCUUAUCACCCGGUGUUUGAGCCUGUUUCCCCUGUAAUUAGAUUACAUGUGAGGCAGCCCCAGCUAAUUGUCUGUGCCACCCACCGGGGAACUCCAGCUCUAUCUGUGAACACCCAGGCCUUCCCGCCGCAGGACAGAUGUUGGGUGAGGCUUGCCUCCCACGCAAACAUCUGCUCUGUUGUUCCGAGUCAGUCACGAGAGCCAGCCGGCUUAGACAAGCAGGGGAUGAAUUCCUGGGCGAGAUGCUUGAUCCUGCCAAGUUUCUGAGCACCAGGCUUGGGCCUCUUGAACAGUUCCCUGCAUCUUCCAUGAUCGGCCAGUGCCUCUGCUUCUGCAUUUAGAAACCAGAGUUCACUUCUGGUGGCCUCAAGCCAAAAUGAGUCUACGAACCAGAAGUCUCUUGACAUUGACACUGAUAAACUUUGAUAUGGAAGCAUUUUUGUUUUUGGCAACCAUCAAUUUUUUUUUGUUUUUCCUCAAACACAUGCAUGGAUGAUGUGAGAACCGGUACCUGGAAACUGAGAGACUGCCGCAUGUGUUUCGGGCUCCCAGCUCUAUCCAUAACUGUCUUUGGGGGCUUCCUAGGCAACCUGG